AGCUGGCAGAGGAGUCCCAAAUAGGACGAAAUGGGCAUCAUGCUGGAU
rnacentral:hammerhead_ribozyme from 1 species